UUUCUGUGUUCGCAGAACGCCUUGUCUGUGCGGUGAAACCGGACCGCCCCGCCCCGCGGUCUGGGGCGACGCGACCGUGUCUCUGUUGCCAGGAUCAGACCUUUGACAGGACUGCAGGAAGAGGACGCAGCGCAAACACAAUGCUGGGUCUCGGGGUGCGGCCGCAGCGCGCCUGAGAGCGCCGGGGUAGCGGGACCGGUGCUUUCGGAACCGUCACGACCACCGGGACCAUCGGGACCAUGGGCUGCACGCCGAGCGCCGACAUCAAGAAGCGAAACGCCCCGGCGGAGGCCCCUACGGAGCCCACAGACAGACCCACGACACCGUUCUCCACCGAAGUGGUCCAGGACCUGACAGCCAUCAACGGAGGAUGAAGGAACAUUCAAAUGACGGAGAAGCUCAUUAAGGUCUCUUGUGGUGCAGAUAAAGGUGAAAUGGAGGAGCCAGAGGUCCUGGCAGAGCUGGAGGUGCAGCGCAUACAAAGGAGCGCAGCAGGAGGUCACGGGGUGCAGGAAAGGCCAGCGGACCACCUGAAUGACCAAGGUGAGCAUGAGCCAGAGGAGAGUCUCACAGGUCAGGUUGAUGCAUCCUCCUUUCUUCUCAACACCAGCACAUUCGUCAUCACAGCUAGACAGGUUCCACCAGGCACGGUCCUCGGACCCACUGCAGAUUUGACUGGUUUUGUCACUGUGCCGUCUUCCAUUUCAGGUUCAGACUCCAAGCACAUCGUUGAAAGAGAGUUUUAGCACCGCCCAGUGCCCUCGCUCUGCUGCUCAUCUGAACGUGCAGCAAAGAACAAAAACGCAACGUCCACCCAGAAGUACAGAGGACACUUGACACUGACAUUUCUGUGAAAGUACUGUGGGAAUUGGACUGACAGUAUGGAACAUGCUGCAAUUAUUCACAUGGUCCCUGUAGUUCUGACAUGUGGAGUCACUGCUGCUCUUCUCAACUUCUCAAGCACACAAAGGACGAUCAGAGUCGUGCAGACCUUAACAGGAACAUGUUCAGAUAGGAACCAGUCUGGGAACUUCAGCUUGUUGCUUUGCUAUGUGGGCUCCUCUCGUAGGGAGUGUUCAGAACCGUAAAAUGUCAAGC
rnacentral:lncRNA from 1 species